rnacentral:rRNA from 1 species
AUUGAACACUGGCGGCAUGCCUUACACAUGCAAGUCGAACGGUAACAGGUCUUCGGAUGCUGACGAGUGGCGAACGGGUGAGUAAUACAUCGGAACGUGCCUAGUAGUGGGGGAUAACUACUCGAAAGAGUGGCUAAUACCGCAUGAGAUCUACGGAUGAAAGCAGGGGAUCGCAAGACCUUGUGCUACUAGAGCGGCCGAUGGCAGAUUAGGUAGUUGGUGGGAUAAAAGCUUACCAAGCCGACGAUCUGUAGCUGGUCUGAGAGGACGAUCAGCCACACUGGGACUGAGACACGGCCCAGACUCCUCCGGGAGGCAGCAGUGGGGAGUUUUGGACAAUGGGCGCAAGCCUGAUCCAGCAAUGCCGCGUGCAGGAUGAAGGCCUUCGGGUUGUAAACUGCUUUUGUACGGAACGAAAAGCCCUGGGUUAAUACCCUGGGGUCAUGACGGUACCGUAAGAAUAAGCACCGGCUAACUACGUGCCAGCCGCCGCGGUAAAAC